ACCACUGUAGCUCAAUUGGUAGAGCAUCGGACACAUUAUUCGAAGGUCGCAGGUUCGGUCCCUGCUAGUGGUA
rnacentral:tRNA from 1 species